UGCUGACGAUGAUGACGAUGAUGACAACGACGAUGAUGAUGAAGAUAAUAAUGAUGAAAUAAUUCUUUCCAACGUAUAUGAGUACCUUGGCAAAAACUUAUCAUCACUAUUAUUGCUACUAUCAUCAUCAUCAUCGUCGUCGUCAUCAUCUUCAUCAUCA
rnacentral:pre_miRNA from 1 species